GGUCCGUGGGAGCUGGCAGACCUCAGGGGAGAGGAGCGGACUCACCUCUGGAGCUCCCACCAUGGGAAGAAACAAGACCUUGACUUGGACCAGACAGGCACUGAAAUGACAGCCCUGGAGGAACACAUGGCUGCUGUACACAUGGCUGCUCUGUUCGAGUGUGCUGGAGCCAAGGCUGGGCCUGGCCCUCUUCAGAUCUGGGACGACCGUGCCUCCGCACUUAUCAUCUGAUGUUUAAGCAACACCACCACAUGCCUGAGCAAAUGCAGCCCACCUCCCAAGCUUGGUGCAAGAGCUCCCCACCACGGACAGUGGGGGCUAACUGGGGUGUGGGCUAUGUCUCCUCCUUCCCCCAAUCUGCUGCCUCUCCACUCUCAUCCGAUAGCACACGGGCGCCACUUCUUUCUUCCUCUGGCAUCUUUCUCUUCAGAUCUGCAUCUCUAACAUCCAACGGGACGCACAGCCAAAGCUGAGAGGGCUCCUCUUCCCUUGUGUUCUUGUCGGUCAUUUGCUGCUCAGUGGGAAGAUCACAAUUCUAGGAUCUGUCCUUGUCCUUGUCCCCUCAAGUCAAUUCAUCAUAAGCCACCCUACUCUCGAUCACAUCUGUCCCCUCAUCUUUUCAUCCCCUCAUCUUUUUCUCAUAAUCUCUAACCUUACCCAGUCUUCUCCCUUUCUUUUCUUUCUUAUUAAAUUCCAGAAACGGAAUCUAGGACCUCAUGCAUCUUAGGCGACUGUUCUAUUACUGAGCACGUUCCCUAGCUCUCCUCUUACUUUAAAAAUGUUUGUGUGUGUGUGUGUGUGUGUGUGUGUGUGUGUGCAUGUGUUUGUGUGUAUAUGUACGCAUGUGUGUGCAUGUGUAUACAUAUGUGUGUAUGUAUAUGUGUGAUAGUGUGCAUGUGUAGGUAUAUGUAUGUGUCUGUGUGUGUCUAUGUGUAUUGUGUGUGUGUGUCUGUGUAUGGUGGGAUCUCCAGAGGUGAGUGCUAAGUGACAGGGAGAAGCAGCUUGAGGCGAGCACACGUGUGUCUGCCAGAGGUCAGCAGUAGAUAGCUUCCCCAAUCACUCUCUACCUUUUUAAUUCAUCUACUUAUUAUUUUUGAAUUAUAGUCUAUCCCUGAACCUGGAACUUACUCAUUUGGCUUGACUGGCCGGCCAGAAAACCCCAGGGAUGCUUCUGCCUCUGCCUCUGCCUCUGCCUCUGCCUCUGCCUCUGCCUCUGCCUCUGCCUCUGCCUCUGCCUCUGCCUCUGCCUCUGCCUCUGCCUCUGCCUCUGCCUCUGCCUCUGCCUCUGCCUCUGCCUCUGCCUCUGCCUCUGCCUCUGCCUCUGCCUCCCCAGUGAUGGUCUUUAACCAGGGAUGCUGGGAGUUAACUCAUUCAUACAUUCAUUCCUAUGACGUAAGCACUUUACCAGCUGAGCCAUCUCCCUAGCUCUUGCUUUUACUCUUAGAUUCAGAACCUUAACUAAGUUGCUCAGACUCUUCUUCGCUUCACUCUGUAGCUCAAAUAGGAUUUGCACUUGUGACGUUCCUGCCUGAGUCUCCCUCGUAGCUGGAAUUACAGGCCUGGACCACCAUGCCUAGUUAACCUGUCAUGUCUGACUGCCUGCCCGACUUUGCUGCUCUUUCCAAGAAUCAGACUGGCUAAAACAGGCUAGUUCUCAAGGUCCUGGAAGGCUCCCCUCUUUUUACCUCAUGUACCCCUGGCUUCUGAGGCAGAAAUUGGCUUCUUCGAGCUGGCCCCAUGCUUCCUCUAGCCUUCUCUCUGUCCCCUGCCCUGUCCCCCACAUUCUGAUACAAGCCCAGGGAUCUCUGUAAGUUCAGCAAUCUCCAGUCUCGCUCCCCUCUGACCUUUGGUAUUCGGUGCCCUGUGCCUGCAUCCAUCCUGCCCAGCCCCUCUCUAGGUCCAGGCCUCCCUGCCAGCUCCCGAAAGUUCACAAGCAGCCCUGACCAUGCUUCAGCUGCAUAACCUCUUCAAGUCCCUCUUAAAGACUAGCUGUUCUCUGUGAGGGCUCCGUGCUUGGGGAAUGUCCUUCUGACAAAGAAGGCAAUGGAUGAAUCUGAGUGGUUGUCAUCAGCCACGCCUCCGAGACUUCUUUUGAGGUCCCAUUCAGGGAAGUGCUCUGGCUGGCAUGCCUGGCCCUUUGCAGCUCCCAAGCCAGUUGAGAUCUUUGGUUGUUGUUGAUUUCUGUUUGGGGGUGCGCAUGCCAUACCAUGUGUGAGGUGGUCAGAGGACAGCUUCGUGGAGCUGGGUCUUCUUCUCCACCUAUGCAUGGGUUCCAGAGCUUGAUCUACCACAAUCUCAGGGUGCCACUGCCUGCUAAGCCAACUCACUGGCCCUUUAAAAAGAAAAAAAGAAAAAGAAAAAGAGAGAAGUUUAGGUUUGGGUAGUCAGGCUGGUCUGGCGGGCUUGGGGAUUCUACUUAUCCCUGAUGACAACCAAGGGGUAGAACUAAGACCAGGGUUCCCUGACCAUAAGCCCUGCAAGUGUAGCUUUGGGCCUGGCCACAAAGCAGGGGCACCAACCACAUCGCUAUGGAAAGAGAAUGGGGAAGAAAUGUCUCCAGUGCCUCACUGCAGACAGCGCUGCUCAGGGCCCUGGCCACUUCUGCAUUCCGUUUUCAAAGUCCCUUAGCAGCCUGCUCCCACUCUGAUUGCUGGCUUUUGGUGACACUAAUGCCAACACUGUCCCAGUGGAUGUUUGGUGGGACCAGGCGGACCGUGUGUGCGUGUGUGCAGGCACGAGGGGCUCUGAGGCGGUUGGAAACAAAGGCCCGGAGUGAGAUCCAGGGCACAGCUGAACUGCCCUGAACUCUGCUUUUUUUGUGUUCAAGGAAAUGCAUAAUUCAAGAACCACCCACGGCCUGGCGGCCCAGCUAAGCAGGGCUGGAAUGCCUUUCCCGUUAGGAAUUGUUUUUUCUAGUUAGCCUGUAACCCUUCCCCUGCCGCUCCCAGCUCC
rnacentral:lncRNA from 1 species